CAAGCAUGAUGGACCAAUAGCUAGAAUAUGUUCCAAGUUUGUGUAUAAAUAGACGAUAUCCUCCUCAACCAAACAACAUCACUGCAAACUUACUACAUUCUACAUAAGUAAUUCCCAAGUUCAUCGCUAAGCAACAAAAUGGCUCAACAAGUCGCCCAGAAGCAUAUGGUUGAACAAUACGGACCUUAUGGUUCUCAAUGCCCCGAAAAUUACAGCUUUAAACUUCAAGAAGGUGAAACUAUCAAGGAAGUCAUCGUAAGGCAUGGCUUCAUUGUUGACGCUAUUGGCUUCGUCGUAGCCAAGCCUUGUGGAGGUACCUACACCAAGAUGUUUGGUGGCAUCAGUUGUCAUGCCAAGGAGUCAAGGAUUGCACUCAAAUGUGGUGAAAAGAUAACCCAGAUUUCUGGCACAUACGGAAACUAUAAGUACCAGAACAAUCAAUGCACCAUUGCUACGUUGAAGAUCCACACCAACUUAUGCCCAACUGGUUAUGGACCAUAUGGACAAGGAAAGGGAGUCGAUUGUCCACGUGCUUUUGCAUCGCCAUGCCCAAUUGACGGUCCUGUUGUUGGAGUGUUUGGAAGGCACAACAACUACCUCGAGUCUGUUGGGAUUUUCGUCCAGAAGAAGGAUUGCCCAUGCGCUUAAGUAUGAUAGCCUGCAGCUCUCAGCAAACAAUAUGAAAAUGUCACGUGAAUUUUCUUUGUUUUCAAUAAGCCACAUAUCUACCAAGUAUAAGGUGGCCUCCCAAGAGUAAUAUCUUGGGUGUUUGUUGUAUCGUUCUUCGUUUAACUAGAGUAUAAUAUAUUUAUGUAUCUUGUCUAGCUUGUUGCCUUUUUGUUAUGAAGUACUCCCUAUGUUCCGGAAUACUCGCAUGUGUUUCCUUAUAAGCCGUUUCGGAAUACUUGCACCAUUUCUUUAAAUGACAUAUUUUUCUAAUUUUAUAUUGUUUAUCUCACUUACCUAAGGUCUCACUUGUAUUCUAACAUCUAAAAGAACAUUAAAAAAACUCACACCUCCCCCACCACUCUCAAAAAGUUGACACAUUUCCCACUAACUAUAUUAAAAAAAAGCACCCAAUAUCAACUAACACCUAAUUAAAUAAUACGGAGUAAGUCAAUAAAUUGUCUUAAACUACAUUCCGGUCAAAUCGGUGCAAGUGUCCCGGAAUGGAGGUUGUAUUGCUUAUGUUAUUUUGAUUCCUCAACUUCGACAUUUACCAUUGUCAACACGAAAUUUAACCAUUAAUCAAAUUUAAAAAUAAUUAAAAUGUCAAUCUUAACACAAAACCCUUGUUAUGAUGAAAAAUAUUGAAACAAUUCUAAAUUUCGGGAAAAACGGUUAAAUACAGGUCUGGGUUGCGCCGGUCAUCAAGAGAUAUAAUCCAUUUAACUUAAUUCAAAUGAGGUUCCAACUUAAAAAUAUAUGGCAAUAGAGUUGUUAACUUAGACCAGAUCAAAAGGCGGGCCAGGCCGGGGCAUAAAAUUUGUCCAUUAUGUCGGGUCAGGCCGGGCAGGGCCAAACUUCAGGCCGAUUUUUUGUGCCCAAAACCCGUUAUUUCGGGCCAAAAAUAGCGGGCUUUUCGUGCCAUUUUCGGGCCUGCGUAAAUUUAUAACUAAAAUUGUUGUUUUAUGUUGCCCAAAACCCGCAAGAUUUUUAAAAAGUUCGGGCCGGGCCGGGCCGGAAAAUUCUGCCCAAAACCCGGUAAUUUUCGGGUCGGGCCAGCGGUCCUGGCCAUUGUUGAUCAGCUCUAAGUUAACUCCCUCUUCUUUUAUUAUCAAGGUGGGAAAAUCACAAUGUGAUGUUUUGUGGAUCACAUCUUAACAAAACCAGAACAAGGAGAAGUUAAAGUAUACGAAGUACGGAGCAUUUAGAAUUUAAAGAUAUGCGAAGUAUUAUAAAAAGGUUUAAUAACAUAACAAUUUCCUUAAAAAGAGCUGAAACCAAAGUUAUCGAAAACACCCUUAAUAUGUUUUGCUCGCCAAUUACCGAAAUUGACUGGGCGGAGCUCAUUUAACAGGAAAUUAAGUUUUUUUUUUUUUUUUUAGUAAUGGCAAACUGGUAAUUAUAAAGUAGUACGGAGUAUAUUAAUAAACAAACCCAAAGCCAGCUCCUUUCUUUUUUAUUAGUAAUGGCAAAUUGGUAAUAAUUAUGAAGUAGUAUCUAAUAAACAAACCCAGAAGCCAGCUCCUCGCGCAUCAUGCUCGUUCUUUCUCUUCAACUUGGUCUGCCACUCUCUCUUUCUAGACUUUGAAAAUCCCAAAAACAAUCCACUAAUCCUAAAGGUUUCCACUUGUUCUCAUCCAAUUCAAAGAAUUUUCCACCAACAGUUGAGCCCAAAAGAAGUAAAAGUUAUAAUGGCGUCGCCAAGAAUCGGAAUGGUGCAUCUACUCAUUGCAUUGCUUGCCACGAGGAUUCUUGCUGAAAAUAUCCGAUUUCGGAUGGAGU